rnacentral:rRNA from 1 species
UCAAGUUACUAAGAGCACAGGGUGAAUGCCUUGGCACCAAUAGCCGAUGAAGGACGUGACAAGCUGCGAAAAGCCACGGGGAGUAGCAAAUAUGCAUUGAUCCGUGGAUGUCCGAAUGGGGAAACCCACAUGAGGUAAAUGCUCAUGUACCGUAUCGUAAAUACAUAGCGAUGCGGAGGGAGACGGGGUGAACUGAAACAUCUAAGUAACCCCAGGAAGAGAAAUCAAACGAGAUUCCGUAAGUAGUGGCGAGCGAAAGCGGAAGAGGCCAAACCGAAAGUCUUCGGAUUUUCGGGGUUGCGGACUGCAAUAAGUGACCGUAGAACUAGCAGAAGAGCCGAUGGAAAGCGGCCGGCAUAGCGGGUAAGACCCCCGUACGCGAAAGGGAAGCGGAGCGAGCAGAAUCCAGAGUACCACGAGACACGAGAAACCUUGUGGGAAGCCGGGGGGACCACCCUCCAAGCCUAAAUACUCAUUGGUGACCGAUAGUGUAGAAGUACUGUGAAGGAAAGGUGAAAAGAACCCCUGGCGGGGAGUGAAAAAGAACCUGAAACCCUGUGUUUACAAGCAGUCGAAGAGCGUUAAGGCUCGACGGCGUACUUUUUGUAGAACGGUCCGACGAGUUACGGUAGUUAGCAAGGUUAAGUACUAGAAGGUACGGAGCCGAAGGGAAACCGAGUCUGAAUAGGGCGAUAAGUUAGCUGUCGUAGACCCGAAACCGGGUGACCUAUCCAUGAGCAGGUUGAAGUGACGGUAAAACGUCAUGGAGGACCGAACCGGUGUCAGUUGAAAAUGGCUCGGAUGACUUGUGGAUAGCGGAGAAAUUCCAAUCGAACCCGGAGAUAGCUGGUUCUCCUCGAAAUAGCUUUAGGGCUAGCCUUGUAUAUGUCUAACGGAGGUAGAGCACUGAAUGGUCUCGGGGCCUACGCAGGUUACCAAAACUUAUCAAACUCCGAAUGCCGUAUAGAUAAAGUACAGGAGUCAGACAGUGACAGAGAAGUGCCAUUGUCGAAAGGGAAACAGCCCAGACCACCAGCUAAGGUCCCGAAAUUACGGUUAAGUGGGAAAGGAUGUGGAUUUGCUAAGACAGCUAGGAUGUUGGCUUAGAAGCAGCCACUCAUUUAAAGAGUGCGUAAUAGCUCACUAGUCGAGUGAGUCUGCGCCGAAAAUUACCGGGGCUCAAACCGUAUACCGAAGCUGUGGAUCCGAAAUGGAUGGUAGAGGAGCUUACUGUAAGCAGUUGAAGCACGAUCGUAAGGACGUGUGGAUGUAUCAGUAGUGAGAAUGUCGGAAUAAGUAACGAGAGAGAAGUGAGAAUCUUCUCCGUCGAAAAUCCAAGGUUUCCUGGGGAAGGGUCGUCCUCCCAGGGUUAGUCGGGACCUAAGGCGAGGCCGAAAGGCGUAGUCGAUGGACAACAGAUUGAUAUUUCUGUACUACCAAUGCCCGUUAUGAGAGAGGCAGGGACACAGGAGGAUAAUCGAAUCGCACUGCAGGAAUAGUGCGACCAAGCGAGGUAGAUAGGCUGUUAGUGAAGUACGGCAGCCGUUUCGAAGGCGUGACGGGGAGGGAAAUUAAGUACCGAAGUCGAUGAAUCCACACUGGCGAGAAAAGCUGCUAUCCAGGGUAGGGGUACCCGUACCGCAAACCGACACAGGUGGAUGAGGAGAGAAUCCUAAGACGAGCGGGAGAAGCGUUGUUAAGGAACUCGGCAAAUUAACCCCGUAAGUUCGCAAGAAGGGGUGCCUCGGUAGCGAUACCAGGCCGCAGUGAAUUGGCCCAAGCAACUGUUUAUCAAAAACACAGGUCUCCGCUAAAUCGAAAGAUGAAGUAUGGGGGCUGACGCCUGCCCGGUGCUGGAAGGUCACGGGAAUCUGUAAGCGCAAGCGAAGCAGUGAACUUAAGCCCCAGUAAACGGCGGCCGUAACUAUAACGGUCCUAAGGUAGCGAAAUUCCUUGUCAGGUAAGUUCUGACCCGCACGAAUGGCGU